rnacentral:rRNA from 1 species
GGGGAAUCUUGCGCAAUGGGCGAAAGCCUGACGCAGCGACGCCGCGUGAGCGAUGAAGGCCUUCGGUUGUAAAGCUCUGUGGAGGGGGACGGAAUAAGGGCACGCUAAUACCGUGUUUGAUGACGGUACCCCUUUAGCAAGCACCGGCUAACUCUGUGCCAGCAGCCGCGGUAAGACAGAGGGUGCAAACGUUGUUCGGAAUUACUGGGCGUAAAGCGCGUGUAGGCUGUUCGGAAAGUCGGAUGUGAAAGCCCCGGGCUCAACCCGGGAAGUGCAUUCGAAACUUCCGAGCUGGAGUCCUGGGAGAGGGAAGGCGGGAAUUCUCGGUGUAGAGGUGAAAUUCGUAGAUAUCGAGAGGAACACCGGUGGCGAAGGCGGCCUUCUGGACAGUGACUGACGCUGAGACGCGAAAGCGUGGGG